rnacentral:piRNA from 1 species
GCUGUACUAGCUUUUAUGUGGGUGCUGGG